GCAGCUUAUCUGGGGCUGAGUUGGGGCCCGUACAGGAGAGCGCGCUCGAUGCCAGCAGUUGGGCCCCAGUGAUCAGACAUUUAUCCCCAAUCCUGCAGAUGGAGGAUACAUUUCUUGGCACUGGACAUCAUCUUUAACACUACACACAAGGAUCAGAAUCCGCUGACAUGGAAACUAUUUGGGCGUCAAGUUCUGCUCAGAGAAAAUAUAGCUGGACCUGGCGGCCUAUUGUUGGUGCCAGCCUGUCUGCCAAGUCAAGAGGACUUCCCUGAAUGUGUCUUUCACAGUGUCACCUCACAGAUUGCUACAAAAAAAACGGUUCCCCUCUUUAGCCUUUCAGCAGUCAUGAAUUGGAUGGAGCCAAGCAUCAGAGACUCAGGAAUAACCCAAGGACAGAACAAGAACCACAGCACAAGUUGAAACUAAUGGAAAGGACCCUAACAUCAUGGAGAUCCAUCAUAGGACAAUGAUGAAGCCUUGCCUCAUGACAGUGUCCUUAAGAUCCCAAAGGGAGUCCUAGCCUGUAGUUGAGGUGAGGGGGGGGGGGCAAGGAUUUUUUGCCACCCUAGGCGAAAUAUAAUUUGGCCACUCAAUAAGCCUGCCCAUUGGCUCCACACUUUGACACGCCCCACCUUACUACUGGGGUGACACACUGUAACAAACCUCCCCCUCAUGUAAUCUCCUUACUACUGGGGUAACACACUGUA